rnacentral:rRNA from 1 species
UACGUAGGGCGCAAGCGUUGUCCGGAAUUAUUGGGCGUAAAGAGCUCGUAGGCGGCCUGUUACGUCUGCUGUGAAAUCCCGGGGCUUAACCCCGGGCGUGCAGUGGAUACGGGCAGGCUGGAGGCAGGCAGGGGAGGACGGAAUUCCCGGUGUAGCGGUGAAAUGCGCAGAUAUCGGGAGGAACACCAACGGCGAAAGCACUCUGCUGGGCCGACACUGACACUGAGAGACGAAAGCUAGGGGAGCGAAUGGG